rnacentral:rRNA from 1 species
ACGGGAGGCAGCAGUGGGGAAUAUUGCACAAUGGGGGAAACCCUGAUGCAGCGACGCCGCGUGAGUGAAGAAGUAUUUCGGUAUGUAAAGCUCUAUCAGCAGGAAAGAAAAUGACGGUACCUGACUAAGAAGCCCCGGCUAACUACGUGCCAGCAGCCGCGGUAAUACGUAGGGGGCAAGCGUUAUCCGGAUUUACUGGGUGUAAAGGGAGCGUAGACGGUAAGGCAAGUCUGAAGUGAAAUGCCAGGGCUCAACCCUGGAACUGCUUUGGAAACUGUCCUACUAGAGUGCAGGAGAGGUAAGUGGAAUUCCUAGUGUAGCGGUGAAAUGCGUAGAUAUUAGGAGGAACACCAGUGGCGAAGGCGGCUUACUGGACUGUAACUGACGUUGAGGCUCAAAAGCGUGGGGAGCAAACAGGAUUAGAUACCCUGGUA